rnacentral:rRNA from 1 species
GGUUAAGCGACUAAGCGUACACGGUGGAUGCCCUGGCAGUCAGAGGCGAUGAAGGGCGUGCUAAUCUGCGAUAAGCGCCGGUAAGGUGAUAUGAACCGUUAUAACCGGCGAUACCCGAAUGGGGAAACCCAGUGUGAUUCGUCACACUAUCAUUAACUGAAUCCAUAGGUUAAUGAGGCGAACCGGGGGAACUGAAACAUCUAAGUACCCCGAGGAAAAGAAAUCAACCGAGAUUCCCCCAGUAGCGGCGAGCGAACGGGGAGGAGCCCAGAGCCUGAAUCAGCAUGUGUGUUAGUGGAAGCGUCUGGAAAGGCGCGCGAUACAGGGUGACAGCCCCGUACACAAAAGCGCAUGUGCUGUGAGCUCGAUGAGUAGGGCGGGACACGUGGUAUCCUGUCUGAAUAUGGGGGGACCAUCCUCCAAGGCUAAAUACUCCUGACUGACCGAUAGUGAACCAGUACCGUGAGGGAAAGGCGAAAAGAACCCCGGCGAGGGGAGUGAAAAAGAACCUGAAACCGUG